rnacentral:rRNA from 1 species
UACGUAAGUGGCGAGCGUUAUCCGGAAUUACUGGGCGUAAAGCGUGCGUAGGCGGUUUAGUGUGUGGGAAUUGAAAGCCCGGGGCUCAACUCCGAGCUUGCAGUGGGUACGGGCAGACUAGAGUGCGGUAGGGGAGACUGGAAUUCCUGGUGUAGCGGUGGAAUGCGCAGAUAUCAGGAGGAACACCGGUGGCGAAGGCGGGUCUCUGGGCCGUAACUGACGCUGAGGAGCGAAAGCAUGGGGAGCGAACAGG